rnacentral:rRNA from 1 species
UACAGAGGGUGCGAGCGUUAAUCGGAAUUACUGGGCGUAAAGGGCGCGUAGGCGGCUAUGUAAGUCGGAUGUGAAAGCCCCGGGCUUAACCUGGGAAUUGCAUUCGAUACUGCAAGGCUAGAGUACGGUAGAGGAAAGCGGAAUUCCGGGUGUAGCGGUGAAAUGCGUAGAUAUCCGGAGGAACAUCAGUGGCGAAGGCGGCUUUCUGGACUGAUACUGACGCUGAGGCGCGAAAGCGUGGGGAGCAAAC